rnacentral:rRNA from 1 species
UACGAAGGGGGCUAGCGUUGCUCGGAAUCACUGGGCGUAAAGCGCACGUAGGCGGAUUGCUAAGUCAGGGGUGAAAUCCUGGAGCUCAACUCCAGAACUGCCUUUGAUACUGGCGACCUUGAGUCCGGGAGAGGUGAGUGGAACUGCGAGUGUAGAGGUGAAAUUCGUAGAUAUUCGCAAGAACACCGGUGGCGAAGGCGGGUCUCUGGGCCGAUACUGACGCUGAGGAGCGAAAGCGUGGGGAGCGAACAGG